UGGGAAUAUUGCACAACGGGCGGAAGCCUGAUGCAGCAACGCCGCGUGCGGGAUGACGGCCUUCGGGUUGUAAACCGCUUUCGCCUGUGACGAAGCGUGAGUGACGGUAAUGGGUAAAGAAGCACCGGCUAACUACGUGCCAGCAGCCGCGGUGAUACGUAGGGUGCGAGCGUUGUCCGGAUUUAUUGGGCGUAAAGGGCUCGUAGGUGGUUGAUCGCGUCGGAAGUGUAAUCUUGGGGCUUAACCCUGAGCGUGCUUUCGAUACGGGUUGACUUGAGGAAGGUAGGGGAGAAUGGAAUUCCUGGUGGAGCGGUGGAAUGCGCAGAUAUCAGGAGGAACACCAGUGGCGAAGGCGGUUCUCUGGGCCUUUCCUGACGCUGAGGAGCGAAAGCGUGGGGAGCGAACAGGCUUAGAUACCCUGGUAGUCCACGCUGUAAACGGUGGGUACUAGGUGUGGGGUCCAUUCCACGGGUUCCGUGCCGUAGCUAACGCUUUAAGUACCCCGCCUGGGGAGUACGGCCGCAAGGCUA
rnacentral:rRNA from 1 species